rnacentral:rRNA from 1 species
UAGAAUUCCACGUGUAGCGGUGAAAUGCGUAGAGAUGUGGAGGAAUACCGGUGGCGAAGGCGGCCUUCUGGACAGAUACUGACGCUGAGAUGCGAAAGCGUGGGGAGCAAACAGGAUUAGAUACCCUGGUAGUCCACGCUGUAAACGAUGUCGAUUUGGAGUUUGUUGCCCUGAGUGAUGGGCUCCGAAGCUAACGCGAUAAAUCGACCGCCUGGGGAGUACGGCCGCAAGGUUAAAACUCAAAUGAAUUGACGGGGGCCCGCACAAGCGGUGGAGCAUGUGGUUUAAUUCGAUGCAACGCGAAGAACCUUACCUGGUCUUGACAUCCACAGAAUCUUGCAGAGAUGCGAGAGUGCCUUCGGGAACUGUGAGACAGGUGCUGCAUGGCUGUCGUCAGCUCGUGUUGUGAAAUGUUGGGUUAAGUCCCGCAACGAGCGCAACCCUUAUCCUUUGUUGCCAGCGAUUUGGUCGGGAACUCAAAGGAGACUGCCGUUGAUAAAGCGGAGGAAGGUGGGGACGACGUCAAGUCAUCAUGGCCCUUACGACCAGGGCUACACACGUGCUACAAUGGCGUAUACAAAGGGAGGCGACCUCGCGAGAGCAAGCGGACCUCAUAAAGUACGUCUAAGUCCGGAUUGGAGUCUGCAACUCGACUCCAUGAAGUCGGAAUCGCUAGUAAUCGUGAAUCAGAAUGU